AAUAGUAUUUAAAAAAAAAAAGACUUGGAACGUAACUGUUUUUAAAACGUUUCGUAAUAAUUAGAAAUUGCAUGCUACUAUAAAGCAAGCGCGAAAA